UAAGCAAGGUGUGAAAUCGUACGGCUCAACCGUAUACACAUACUUUGAACUGGUAAGCUAGGGUAUAUGAGAGGUCACUGGAAUUUCUAGUGUAGGAGUGAAAUCCGUAGAUAUUAGAAGGAACACCGAUGGCGUAGGCAGGUGACUGGCAUAUUACUGACGCUAAGGCACGAAAGCGUGGGAGCGAACGGAUUAGAUACCCCGGUAGUCCACGCCGUAAACUAUGGAUGCUA
rnacentral:rRNA from 1 species